UGAAGCUUGAGCUGACCUGCUGCCUUUUC
rnacentral:piRNA from 1 species